CUGUAAAAAAACCGUAUUUGGAACAUAUGCUGUAACUAAUUUGUAAAGCAAAUGUAAUAAUUAAUUAAUUGUAUAAUAAAGAAUGUUUGUGCUUUGAAAUUAAAAUUGAAAUUCUUGGUGCUAUUUUAUAUAGUAUGGAAUAAACAAAGGAUUUUGAAAAUGGAAAAUGAAUGUUUAGAUAAAUCCAUAAUUCAUGAGUAUGCUCGCAAAGAUUGUAAAAGAAUUGAGUGACCUAUUACAGUUGGUCAUUUGAAAGAAAAACGCUAAACACGAUAAAAAGAGAUGAACGGAAAGCAAUGAUGGAAACAGAAACUGCUUUUUUAAAUUCUUCUUGAUUGUACCAUCAGCAUUAAUCCAUAUUAUUUCGAUUAAGCUGUUCUUGAAACAUUGUUGUAUGUAACUAUCAUUAAGUUCAAACAAUUUAAUAGUAAUUUUGUGAAUAUAGCUUCUCCCUCUAUUUAACAAUUGCAGGUAUGAAACAGGAACAAAAACAUAGAAAGAACUCUCAAACAACAGACUCAUCUAAUAAAUGCAAUAAACUUUUUUCUGAAAAUCUUAAAAGAAGCUGCAAAUGUAACAAAAAAUGGUAGGCCCAGCAGAUAGCUGAUGCAUGGGUUUAAGUAUUUCCAUUAUUUAUCGAUGUUGCCAACCAAUUCCCAUUAAUGGACGAAAAAUAGUGUGAAGUCGAUUGUUUAAUAAGGAGAGUUACAAAAUGGAAGCGCAAGACAAACGCAUAUUCGGAGUCACUCUUUCAAGGUAUAAGCAAGCAUUGGAU